rnacentral:rRNA from 1 species
GACGAAGGGAGCGAGCGUUGUUCGGUAUCACUGGGCUUAAAGGGCGCGUAGGCGGCCUGUUGUGUCGGUUGUGAAAUCCUCAGGCUCAACCUGAGAAUUGCUGCCGAAACUGACAGGCUUGAGGCAUUCUGGGGGUGACUGGAACUCUUGGUGGAGCGGUGAAAUGCGUAGAUAUCAAGAGGAACGCCGGUGGUGAAGACGGGUCACUGGGAAUGUUCUGACGCUGAGGCGCGAAAGCCAGGGGAGCGAACGGG